GACGAACGCUGGCGGCGUGCCUAAUACAUGCAAGUAGAACGCACAGUUUAUACCGUAGCUUGCUACACCAUAGACUGUGAGUUGCGAACGGGUGAGUAACGCGUAGGUAACCUGCCUGGUAGCGGGGGAUAACUAUUGGAAACGAUAGCUAAUACCGCAUAAUAUUAAUUAUUGCAUGAUAAUUAAUUGAAAGGUGCAAUUGCACCACUACCAGAUGGACCUGCGUUGUAUUAGCUAGUAGGUGAGGUAACGGCUCACCUAGGCGACGAUACAUAGCCGACCUGAGAGGGUGCUCGGCCACACUGGGACUGAGACACGGCCCAGACUCCUACGGGAGGCAGCAGUAGGGAAUCUUCGGCAAUGGACGAAAGUCUGACCGAGCAACGCCGCGUGAGUGAAGAAGGUUUUCGGAUCGUAAAGCUCUGUUGUAAGAGAAGAACGGGUGUGAGAGUGGAAAGUUCACACUGUGACGGUAUCUUACCAGAAAGGGACGGCUAACUACGUG
rnacentral:rRNA from 1 species